rnacentral:misc_RNA from 1 species
GUUGAAGAACGCAGCGAAAUGCGAUAAGUAGUGUGAAUUGCAGAAUUCAGUGAAUCAUCGAAUCUUUGAACGCACAUUGCGCCCCUUGGUAUUCCAUGGGGCAUGCCUGUUCGAGCGUCAUUUGUACCUUCAAGCUUUGCUUGGUGUUGGGUGUUUGUCUCGCCUUUGCGUGUAGACUCGCCUUAAAAUAAUUGGCAGCCGGCGUAUUGAUUUCGGAGCGCAGUACAUCUCGCGCUUUGCACUCAUAACGACAGCGUCCAAAAGUACAUUUUACACUCUUGACCUCGGAUCAGGUAGGGAUACCCGCUGAACUUAAGCAUAUCAAUAAGCGGAGGA